AGAAAAUAAAUUAAUAAUAAAAAUAAUUUUAAUAUUAUAAGUUUUUAGUUUUAUUUAAAUAAAAAAUAAUAUUUUUUAUAGUUAAGUAGUAUUGUAAAAUAAAAUUGAAAUAAUUUUGAAAAAUUUAAAAAUAAAAAGAAAAAUUAAUUUUUUGUGCCUUGUGUGUCAGGAUUAAUUAAUUAAAUAAUAAAAUUUUAUUUUUCUCGAAUUUAAAAGAUUUAAUAAUUUAAGUUAUUUAUUGUAAAAUAAAUAUUAAUUUAUAAAUUAUUAGAAAUGAAACGUUAUUCGUUUUUAAAUUUAUCUAGUUUUUUUAGAAAUAAAUUUAAUUUAGUUUAUUUAAAUUAUUAAUUUAAUUUAAUUAAAUUAAUAAUUUUUAAUAAUUAAUAUUUUAAGGGAUGAGCUUUAAAAUAAAAAAUUAUAAUUUAUAAUUAAAGUAUUUAAAAAAUAAGCUUAAAAAUAGUUAUUUUUAAAAAUAGUGUUAUAAUUUAUAAAUUAUAAACUUAAUAUUUAAUUUAUAUUUAAUUUUUUAUAAAAAAAAUUAUUAAAAUAAAAAAAAAUAAAAUUAUUAUGAUUAAAUUAGUAAAAUUUUAUAAUUUUUAUUUAGUAAAUAAUUUUUAGGUUAAAAUAAUUAAUUCGACAAUUUUUAGUAUUCACCUGUUUAUCAAAAACAUCUCUUUUUGAUUUUAAUAAAAAGUUUAACCUGCCCACUGAAAUUUUUAAAGGGCCGCGGUAUUUUGACCGUGCAAAGGUAGCAUAAUCAUUAGUCUUUUAAUUGAGGACUGGAAUGAAUGGUUGAAUGAGAUAUUUUUUGUAUCGUUAAAAUUUAAAAUUAAAUUUUAUAUUUUAGUUAAAAAGCUAAAAUAAAGUUUAAAGACGAGAAGACCCUAUAAAGCUUUAUAUUUAUAUUAUAUUUUUUAUUAGGUCUUAAAUUUAAAUUUUAUAGUUAAAAUUAUUUUAUUGGGGUGAUAUUAAAAUUUAAUUAACUUUUAAUUUAUUUAUUCAAUUAUUUUUGUUUUUAUAUUUGAUCCAAUUUUUUUGAUUAAAAAAUUAAGUUACUUUAGGGAUAACAGCGUAAUUUUUUUGGAGAGUUCAAAUCGAUAAAAAAGAUUGCGACCUCGAUGUUGGACUAAGAAUUAGUUUAGGUGUAGAAGUUUAAAUUUUAAGUCUGUUCGACUAUUAAAUUCUUACGUGAUCUGAGUUCAAACCGGUGUAAGCCAGGUUGGUUUCUAUCUUAAAUUAAAUUUUAUAUUUUAGUACGAAAGGACCAAAUAUAAAAAUUUUUAUUUUUAUUAAGAUUAAAAUUAAAAUUAAUAAAAUU
rnacentral:rRNA from 1 species